CUCAUGAAUAUGUCCACUAAUUCUCGAUCAGUCAUAGGGGGUUUGACUCUGCCAGCCAAAUCUCUCCAUUUUUGAGCAUAUUCUUUGAAGCUUUCUUUAGAUCCCAUAGUCAUACUCUGCAACUGUAUUCGAGUAGGUGCCAAUUCAGAAUUAUGCUGGUAGUGCUUGUAGAAAGCUGUCGCUAACUCAGUCCAUGUGUGGAUGUUAAAGCUCUCGAGCUGAUAGUACCAUUCUAACUGUGUGUCAGCCAGACUUUCUUGGAAGAAAUGGAUCCAUAGCUUCC
rnacentral:lncRNA from 1 species